CCUGUACACAUGUUAGUCUCGCGCAAGCUAGUUGACGCAGAGCAGUCGUUCACUUACUGGACUUAGAUGUGAAACCCAUACGGACUUAGUCAUCACAGAGUGUGAUAGACUCUCAUGUGUGUAAAGGGACUUAGCCGCGUACUUGUUGAGCAUGAUAAAGUCUUAGCUGCUCAGAGGAAGAAAAAACAUAAGUUCCGAAUAACAGGGACUUUUGCAGAUAUUAGCAUAUAUCGUCGACACUGAAGCCCUCGACCCCAACGGUUAGCAUCCGCUUUACGUGGCCGUGAACACCGAACACUUCAGUUUCGUAUGUUACCGCGACACCGGUCCAUCUUUUUCGCUCAGCUGCUAGAGAGCGGCCCUCGGAUAAAUUCACUAACAGCGAGACUGUGCUGCACAUACGAAAAAGGGCUGCUCCACCUUCGCCAACCACUUGCUUGAUGCGAGAGCUGAAGAGGCGAGCGAAGGACGUUGCUGCGAUUCGCGGUGGAGGGGAGACUACAUCGAUUGCCUGGAACAGCUAUACUAAUUUUAGAUAUGCACGUCGAGCGGAAGUUCUCCAAAAUUAUCGUGGCGGAUGACGAGUUUGCGAGAACAAAGCCACGAUGAAGUGAUGAGACUGAAACUGAAGCGAAGUUGAAUAACGCGCGAGACAACGUUUUACCUCUUUCUUCGUGGCAAUCGAUGCUGGAUGAUCAAUUUCGUAGCUAACGACGUGGAUUGUAGAAUAUUUGCAGAUCAUACCAAUUAUCCCGGGUACAAGAUCGCGUUGAUAAGAUUUUCCUAUUUUUGCAGCAUGCUCGACAAAAAUUAUCGCAUUGGCGUAUGAUGUGCACCGGUACUCAAUGCUGCCUUGAGAGGCUCGUAAUAGUCUUUUGCAAUUGCCACACGUAACUAUAAUCAAGAAUCCUGUUGGUAUACCGAUUUUCUCACCGUCGACGACUUUAAAAAUAUUAUUAAAACGAUGUUAUAUUAUUAGAUAUUAUUAAAGAUCAACUAAAAAUUGUAAAUACA